UUCCCCACCUUAAUUAGCACUUAUUCAGUUGAGCCUUCAUUCGCAUAUUAGCACUCUCGAUCAUCUUCUUCUCCAAAUGAACUUCUCUAUCAGCUUUCUCUCACAACCUUAGCUCACUCUGACUCACCCUAUCCUCACCCGACAGACUAAACCCAACCCUAACCUCUGCUUCACACCCAACGACGACGGUGGCCCUCGAGAGGUUCCGUAAUAUGCGCCUCACUGUAUGUUGAUUUACAUUUCAUUAUGCACCAAACUAACUACUUCUUCUAGUAUUAAGAAUGAUUUCUUACUACUUUUUUUUAGGUGAAUUCUUUUUUCCACUGGAAUUUGUUUGCUAUAAAAAUGACCAGUCUAAAAUCCAUCGAAACCCCUUCGUUAUUAUGUCUAUUUGUGCAACUUAUUUGCUCUAAUUGGUUGCAUUAAUCAAGAACGCCACCUCUCUUCUCGCCCUCACUCUCUGUCAUCUUCUCAUCUAUGUAAGUUAGUUGUGAGGGUUAAGAUUUUUAUAUUUUUUCCAAGUUAAGGUUAUCUCUAUAGGAUAUAACUCUGUUGUUUAUAUCUUGCUUGAUUUCUAGUUCACAUCUGGUGAAUAUUGUAUGAAAAUUCAUUUGUUUUCACAUAAUUUAAUAUUUCAAAAUGCCUAAUGCAUUCAAAGCGUUUGAGAAAAUGUCUCAGAGUCUUUGUUAAUCUUUUCCUCUGUUUGUAAUUAUUAUUUCAAAUCUAGAUAUUCAUCUAUUUAAAAUUUGUUCUCUUUCUAUAGUAAUAAUAUGGUCACUUCGUAUUGUUCAGGUAAGAAAUGAUUCAUUGCUUCUCUAUGCUUUCUUUUUCUAUAUGUUCACAAAAUUAAUGUAUCCAAACUUAUGCAAAGAAAACAAUAACAGUUUUCUCUCCCUCUGUCUGUAUAUAGUUUAAAUUUGGGUGUAUAAUUUAUGGCAUGGCUCGAUAUAAAUUUAAACAGUUUUUAGAUAAAUGUGUAUAAUGAAUUGAUUAUGAGCUUUUCCAAGUUGAAACAGAUGGAAAAGUGGGUGCAGGGAACUUCAGAAGCUCAUUCUAUGGAAACCUAAUGUGUACUCAUCAAUUUGCAGCAGGAAAAAAUAUUCAGUUAUGGAAACUCUGUUGUGGUGGCCUCAGUGGUUAAAAACUUCACCCUCUUAUAGUUGAAACAUCAUUGUAUUUUAUGAAUCUUGGGCGUGCUUUAGUUUGUUAAUUAUAAAAUAUUUUAAUCGGCUGUGCUAUGUAUUAUUUUGUAUACUUAUGGCCUAUUUUGGGAGAUAUAGUUAAUUUUUCACAGCAACUUUUUUGGUGUUCAUUUCAUGUUUGGCAACUUGGAAGGAAGAAGACCAACACCAGUGAGACUCAUUUGAACUCAGGUAGCGGGAUUAACCACUCUGGGUUAAAAAGGCAUCAGGAAGUUCUUUCAGUAGUAUUUCUGGCCACUGGCAAUUGCUUUUGGUUUGUUUGCAGCCAUGAAAUUUAGCUUAUUUCUCGGAUGAGGUGUGAGCUUAAAACUGAGGAAGGAGCGGAAAAAGCCGACUAGAUCCAAUGAUAGUCAUCAGGAUGGCCAAUCUUCCAGCACUGCAGCUUGGCUUCUACCUCCCGUUGCAAAUAUUCUCUUCAAAGAAGGCGUUACUCCAGCUACGGCCAGGUAAUUACCAAAGAUUUCAACCAUUUGGCAUUGACUUCAAGGUAAUGUAUUUAGUUAUAUAUGUUGUAAUGCCAAAAGUAUAAGAAAAUGUUAGCGUGUAUAUAAUUAACUUUCACUGUUUAUAACCGUACAUUUGCAAAUACACAUUAUACAUAUGUAUAUGAUGUGUUACAAUUGCAAAGUUGAUUCACCUGGCAUUGUAUAUAUAAAAAAAGAACAUUUUCUUUUAGAUCAGCUGUUGUUUAUUACAUCAAAUCAGGUUUGGUCUUGGCUAGGCAAUUUGUUAAGUAAAAUUUUUACUUAACAAGUAUAAUAUUUAAGUAUUACCCUUUUAGUUAAAAAAAUUCUUCUAAUCAUUUUAAGUAUUUAAAAAAAAAAAAAUUCAAUUACUAGGGACUCAAAUAUUUUUAUGUCAUGAGUAAGUUCCCAUUUUGUCGGUUUUCAACUUUUCUUAGUUCAAAUGACAAGGAAUCUAUCACUAUUGAGCCCAUAAAUUCUGGGAUUUUGAACGGAAGGAAUUGGUUUUCGAUUCCAUUACCGCACAGAACGAUUCAAAAUCCAUUUUACUUCUUGGGAUCCCCUGUUGUUAGGCAGGGUUAUUUGUGUCCCUAUUUUUCUAUUUUUGUCUAUGAUAUAUAUUAUUGAAAUUGUGUUACAAGAACUAUUAUUGCAGCUUAUAUUGCUUGUUAAUCUAACUACAAUGAGUUCAAAUUAUGAUUGCGAGUAGGCAUUUGAGAGUAAUAUUGACAUGGAAUGGAAAUUAAUCAAUUUUUUGGAUUUUAUGUUUCAAAAAAUUAGUUUCAAGGGGCUGGCCUUUUGAUUUACUAUUAAUUUCUAAAUUUCUUCAUGGUAUAGAUACAAUUGUUCCAGACAAUGACUUGAAAGUAGGUGAUGUUUGUGCCUUUGUUAUGACAAAGAACAUUGGAAUAAUCUUAUUCGAAGUGAUUAUUUUUCAUAACAAUGGAGUAGCAAACUCCCCUAUGGCUAUGCUAUCAGUUCCAGGUAAAGAAGAACUCUGUUCUGUAGUAAUAUACUGUCUUGAUCAUUCCCUACUUCACCCUAAACAUCACAUAUAACAAUCUAGGUGAGAAUUAUUAUAAUGCUCCUAGACAAUAUAAUUGAAUGCAAACAUGGCUACAAAGUUGACUUAUACUACUGUUGUUUUCAGCUGCAAAUAAGAGAAGUUCAACUACACCAUCCAAGCCAAAGAUAACCCCUUGUGCGAAAAUUGAACCAUCUUUUACUAGUGAUUAUGAUAAAGCCAGCAUGAUUUCAGAGGACCUAAUUGCACAGAAAAUAAUAGAUGAACCUUCAGUUAACUAGUCUGAUAAAGUGUGUGGAGAAUCUCUUGUACAUAAAAAAUUUAUAAGAAAUCAGGAGUUGAGUAGAAAAGGAAAGGCUGAAGCUUUCCAAAGAGCUAAAGAUUUUAAAUCUGAAGACCCCUUUUUUAUUGUUCCCAUGCAACCAUCAUUUGUUGGAUCCAAAUCUAAGUAUUGUAUUGUAAUUAAUAAGUUUCUCAAUUACAAGUCUAUCUCUUCAAAUAUGUUUCUCAUAUUGAUUUUACUUUGUUUUCAUCUUAUGUCUAGGGUGUGCCAUCUCCCUUUGCAAAAAAGUACCUUUUCGGGAUCAGUAGUACACCUCAACAUGUGAUCCUUACGGUUAAGGAUGUGAUUUUACUUCAAUGCAUAUGUUUAAUUUAUUGAUUUUACAGAUGCUCAGAGGAUACUUUAAGAGUUUGAGGGGUGUGUGCUUCUAGCUUCUGAGUUUGGAGCCAGAUUAGGAUAGAGGCUUCACAUUCUUUUUUAUGUUUGUUUGCCUAACUUAGUGUUAGUUUUUUUUUUUUUUUGUUCAUUUAGUUGGGUUUGUAUUGGGGUAACUUUUUUCUGUUUUUCAUGUUGGCAACUCUGAUUCAUUGAGUUUAUUGUUGUAGUUCAUAGACAAUACAAUUCAAGCAAGGAUUAUGUAAUUGAAUUUUUUAUGAUUGCCAUUGUAAUUUUUAUGUAUUGAAUAAAUGUGUUCAA